GGAAAAUGAACCCUCGUUGUUACUGUAACCCCCCUGAAGCGGGUUAUUUUUCUAGAACGGACUGUUUUAUUCCUUUUAUACCGCAGCAAUUUCUAAUGCUAACAUUUUAAUUUAUUUUUUUAAAUGAAGAAUGGCACAUCACAAAACAACACGUUUUAAUCCGUUCGAAGUGACAUUCAACCCAUUAAAUGGAUUAAAAAGUCAUAUCAUGAAUUGUCACAUCAAGUCAUUCCCUCACCAGCCUCAUGACAAAUAAAAAACAAGCAAACAAACAACAACAGACAACAGACAAAAAAAACCAAGAAACCAAUAAAUUCCUGACACUUCCAUAAAUCCUAAAUAAACGUCUCCUCACUGAAAAUUUCACCAUAUCAACAAUCACGCGGUUUUAAAAAAAUGAUUUCCCUAAAAUGUUCCUACAGAAAGGAUAACGUAUGAGAACGAGCGCAUUGAUAUGAACCUGCGAUGUGCAGCUGCGCUACUGUCAGAGCUGCUGUUAUAGAGAAUUAAUCAACACCUUCUGAGCAAUCAAGAACUGCCCUUAGACCUUCGAUCUAAGUGUUUUCUGUUCUUUUCUCAAUACAGGAAGAAGAGUAGAAAUCUUACACACACACACACACACCAACACAGCUACUUUAGGUAGAAAGAUUAUGUUAUGCUAUGGUAACGAUAACAUUUUCGUCGCCAAAUGAGCGCAUGCCAAUGGAGUCGGAGACAAAACCACAGACGCUUCAGAGUCCUGAGAGAAAGAAAAAAAACAUACAAAGGUGAAUAUCGAAAGUGGGAAAGGCUUAAAAAUGACCUUCCAGAUGAAUUAUGAAAUGAAUUACGAAAUGUCAGUGACACACUCUCACACACACACACACACACACACACGGACAAGAUGGUACACGUACAGGCCAGCACGCCAUCACGCCAGUGGACACGAGAGUGAGAACAUGUCCAGACCCGUGCCUUACUAAACUUAUCAUUAGAAAGCAGGUAUCAAUUUAAGGGACUUUAUGUGAAGAUUCACUUCGAACGACGCACAAAUAUCGACAAAACGCCUGUUUUUUAACAGACCGAUUGUUUGUCGUCAUGUGGAACGAGUGCUGAAAACUAAAUUUAGUGUCAGGUGGCAGGAUCUUCAGCGUGUGCUUCUCCAGCAGCGUAGUUACUGAGUCCUUUCCUCUUCUUCCUCCUCCAGUACAGCCAGAUGCUGAAGCCCAUGAGGAUUACCCAGCAUGCUCCACCGAUCCCCGCGAUGAACGCCGGCUGCUUCACCACGUCCGUGAUCUGCUCCGUGAUGCUGUUAUUCUUGUCCCCGCUCACGAUCACAUCUCGGAAAUCUUUA
ensembl:lncRNA